rnacentral:lncRNA from 1 species
CUUCUCUCAACUCUCCCUCAAUCUCUCCUAGAAAUCCUAGCCGCCAUCAAUACCUCUACCCCAAAAUCACCAGAAUCCAUGGCUUCCCAGGCCAUCGGAGUCCUGUACCGGCCUCCUAUAACUCUUACUCACCUAGUUCCUAAAGAUUCAAGGCCUGACUACGAAGAAGCUUGGUCCAGGAUUUAUCUGAUUCAAGUUCUAUGACCGUCUCCGGCCUUGCUCCGGCAAAUCACGGUUGUUCAAGCCUGACCUCGACAUCUUCUGCUCAGAUCAACGAUUUUCUAAGCCUUUCUUACCAUUUUGGUUCCUCUGAAAUCCUAGCUUUUGAGGUUCUUUUGAUUUCUUUAGAUCCGUUCUAGAUCUGUGUUUUCCCUGAGCUUUAAAAUGAUUUCUUGAUAUUUCUUUUAAAACUAUGCUUUCAAAAACUUUUAUUUUUUCCGAUCUAGGGUUUUUUAGUUAUUUAUAUGUUUCUCCGAUUUUCUUUUCUCUUGUGUGUUUCUCUGAUUUUCUUUUUCUCUUCUGUGUUUGUUCUACUAUAUUUCUCCUACUGUGUUCGUGUUAAAUUUAUUCUACCAUGUUCUUAUCAGUUUCUUCUACUAUGUUUCUCCUACUGUAGUAUUGUUAAGUUUCUUCCACCAUGUUCGUAUUAGUUGAUUCUACUGUGUUCUUUGUGUGUUUCUUCUACUACGUUCCUCUUACUGCGUUUGUGUGGUUUCACAUGUUGUUCUUUUACUAUGCUUCUUAUGAGUUCCUGCUACUGAAAAAGAAUGUUAAAAGGUCCCGGUUCCUUUCUAGGACUUCUAAACCUAUUUUAAUUAGUAUCUUUUCCCUUAAUCACUUACCCUUUCAUCUCUGCAAUCGAUUAAUGGCAAGAACCCUAAAUUUGGGGGUGCAUCCGAGUUUUGAGACCCUUGGCUAUGUGGUUUGAUUGCUCUUCGUCUUUGAACUUUUUUUAUUUCAAAAAACCUAACUCUUUUGGACCUAUCUCGAGUUUUCUGAAUUUGUUUCAUCUAUUGCUCAACUGAGUCUUGAAAUCUCUAUUUCUUUAAGCGAUUCUAAUUUUCUAUUAAAACUCUUCUAAGGUCUUUGUGCUGGACCCUUUGUAUGCUAUUUGAUACUUUAUCUCUCCUACAUUGCUGACCUAUAUUACUACCAUGAUCUUGCAGUCUAUUACCUACUGAUUUUACAAUUGCAUGACACUUCUUAUUUUGUGUCCUAAACUUAGUUGUGUAUGCCUAAUACUUAUAUGCUCUUUAUAUGUGCUGAACCUCCCUCUAAAAAUGGCUUUUAAUUUUGAUUGAUUUCAUACUCCCUUUUUGUAUAAGUUUGAUUGAUUUUCUUUCCUUGUUUGCUGAUUUCCCUAUUACUCGAUUUGAGUCAAAACUUUCCUUAGCUUUCUGGCUUGGUUCAUUCAUGGACCAAUAUUUACAAAAUCUCUAACCCCUUGAUUUACUGGAUACUGGUUAACUCUUACCUUAUUCUUUUUAAUCAUAUAUUUAAACUUUUCUUAAUUAAACUCAUAUGUAUUUACCCCUAAUUGCCUACUUUGCACAAAAUUCUUAUUUGAUUUCUUUCCUUAAAUAACUUUUACCUUUUAAGUCUGAAUUUCUUAAUUACAAGAAGUCUUGUAUUGACUGAUUUUUAAUUGAUAUCCAGUUCCUUAUAUUGUUUUCUUACCUUAUUUUUGCAUGUUUUUCAUACUAUACAUACACGACUCUUUCAUUAACAAAAGACAUCCAUCACUUGUAAUCUUUCUAAACUUACACUCGAAAGUAUUCUCUCUUAUUGCUUGCACUAUGACAUGUUUACAAGACCUACUACCUACUUUUCUCUAUUUAAUUCUUUGAAAUUGGUAUGUCUUGAUUUAAGCUUUUAGCACCACAUCAAUGUGUUUAUUUCUGCUUUUGUAUCCUUAUCUACUCACUGCUUCUGUAUAGUUCAACACUACUGAUUUCUUUUCCUGCAUGUUCAGUUAUGAAUCCCUAUUCCCCUACCCCCCCUGUGUGUUUAAGCUAUGGUUUGGAGCAUGGCAAUAUGUAAAUUAUUGCCCAUGAAUUAAACUUGAUCUCUUGGGAUCCUAGCCUCUAACAAUGUAUGUUCUGGAAGGCUUAGGGUAAUGCUAGCAUCCUCCAUUGUUGGGCAUGCCUAAAGCCUACCCUUGCCUAAGAAAUAUGCUCUUUACAAUCUCCCUAUUCCCAUGAAUCCCCUAUGUGUACUUAUUUGUAGUUGUUUCCCUCCCCUUUCCCCUUUUUAGAAGUUUGUUUCUACACUUGCACUCUCUCUUAGUCUUUAAGUUCUGCCCCCCUCUCGUGAGCCUUGCCUUGGGACCUUGAGUUCCAUCUAAACUUGGACACUUGAGGGCUGGCCCUUCCACACUGUACUUGUUCUAAUCUGAUAAUAAAUUUGGGUGUGAGCAUUGCCCGGAGUCUCUGAGGCUCUUAGGGAACUUUGAAGACUGAAAUGGGAGAAAGGCUUUGGAUCAUG